GGGGCUGUGGCUCAGUGGUAGAGCAUUCACCUAGCACGUGUGAGGCACUGGGUUUGAUCCUCAGCACCA
rnacentral:tRNA from 1 species